rnacentral:lncRNA from 1 species
GUGGUCCAAACUCCGCAUUACCUCGAAGGGGUCAUUAUUUUCUUGACCUGUGUCGAGAGCCUUCUUAGAGGCCGGGGAUGUUUGGUAGGAAUUUUCCGUCUUUGUUGAGACGAGGUUCCCUAGGUCUUUGGUGUGGUUUGUUUUUCGUCCGUUGCCAGUGUAAUUCAUCGCUUUCCUUCUUAAUUUUUCUUCUUUUUUCGAGUGAGGGUCCUCCCCUUGCUUUUCAUGGGGUCGCGUAGAGGUGUGGAGGUGCCAUUGAGGGGGCUUUUCCCUUUAUCCGAUCAUAUUGGGUGGCCAGGUUUUUGUCAUUGUCAGGAUGAGGUCCUCCUUCUAUCCUUGACAUAGUCGAUCUCAGCUCAGGUUAGGAUGAGGUUCUCCUUCUAUUCCCGAUGGAGCUGUGGGGGCACAUAAAGGUCAUCGUGAGGGCCUCUCCCCCCAUCCGGUCUAAAAGAAUCGGGUCUUCGACUUUGCUCAUGUCAGGAUGAGGUUUCCUCC